AUGGUGGGAUUUUGGCUCCCUGUCAUGAACUGCCAUCCGCCAUCGAUAACACUGGGCCCUGAAUCUAAAACUGUUACUGAUAAGAAGAGAAACACACAUUACUAUUUAGGUUUAAACCUUUAUUUUCUUUCAAGUUUACGCCGAGAUUGCUGUUUAUGUAUUCUUUAUCUCAGAACACUUUUUUUUUUCUCUGUAAAAUAUACUGAACUGGCAGUGGUUAGAAAUAGGGAGAGGCAAGAAAGUCAAGAGUGGAUUGAAGCUUAUUUGGCUUGCUGUUUUGUGGUUGAUAUGGAAGUCAUGGAAUGGUCAUUUGUUUAA